AGAGUUUGAUCCUGGCUCAAAUUGAACGCUGGCGGCAUGCUUUACACAUGCAAGUCGAACGGCAGCACGGGGGCAACCCUGGUGGCGAGUGGCGAACGGGUGAGUAAUACAUCGGAACGUAUCCUUGAGUGGGGGAUAACGCAGCGAAAGUUGUGCUAAUACCGCAUGAGCUCUGAGGAGGAAAGUGGGGGACCGUAAGGCCUCACGCUGAAGGGGCGGCCGAUGUCCGAUUAGCUAAUUGGUGAGGUAAAGGCUCACCAAGGCUUCGAUCGGUAGCUGGUCUGAGAGGAUGAUCAGCCACACUGGGACUGAGACACGGCCCAGACUCCUACGGGAGGCAGCAGUGGGGAAUUUUGGACAAUGGGGGCAACCCUGAUCCAGCCAUGCCGCGUGAGUGAAGAAGGCCUUCGGGUUGUAAAGCUCCUUCGUGAGGGAAGAAACGGCCAUAGUGAAUAGCUGUGGUUACUGACGGUACCUCAAGAAGAAGCACCGGCUAACUACGUGCCAGCGCCGCGGU
rnacentral:rRNA from 1 species